rnacentral:rRNA from 1 species
AUACGGAGGAUCCGAGCGUUAUCCGGAUUUAUUGGGUUUAAAGGGUGCGCAGGCGGGAGAUUAAGUCGGCGGUGAAAUUUUGCCGCUCAACUGUAAAAGUGCCUUCGGAACUGGUUUUCUUGAGUGUAGAUGAAGUAGGCGGAAUUUGUGGUGUAGCGGUGGAAUGCAUAGAUAUCACGAGGAACUCCGAUUGCGCAGACAGCUUACUAAACUACUACUGACGCUCAGGCACGAAGGCGUGGGGAUCAAACAGGAUUAGAUACCCUGGUAGUCCACGCAGUAAACGAUGAUUACUAGCUGUUUGCGAUACAAUGUAAGCGGCUGAGCGAAAGCGUUAAGUAAUCCACCUGGGGAGUACGUUCGCAAGAAUGAAACUCAAAUGAAUUGACGGGG